rnacentral:rRNA from 1 species
GACGAACGCUGGCGGCAUGCCUAAUACAUGCAAGUCGAGCGAACAGAUGAAGUGCUUGCACUUCUGACGUUAGCGGCGAACGGGUGAGUAACACGUAAGGAAUCUACCUAUAAGCGGGGGAUAACAUUCGGAAACGGGUGCUAAUACCGCAUAAUAUCUUCUUCCGCAUGGAAGAAGAUUGAAAGACGGCUCUGCUGUCACUUAUAGAUGACCUUGCGGUGCAUUAGUUAGUUGGUGGGGUAAUGGCCUACCAAGACGAUGAUGCUUAGCCGACCUGAGAGGGUGAUCGGCCACAUUGGGACUGAGACACGGCCCAAACUCCUACGGGAGGCAGCAGUAGGGAAUCUUCCGCAAUGGGCGAAAGCCUGACGGAGCAAUGCCGCGUGAGUGAAGAAGGCCUUUGGGUCGUAAAACUCUGUUAUAAGAGAAGAACAAAUUGUAGAGUAACUGCUACAGUCUUGACGGUAUCUUAUCAGAAAGCCACGGCUAACUACGUGCCAGCCGCCGCAGUAA